rnacentral:tRNA from 1 species
GCCCCAGUGGCCUAAUGGAUAAGGCACAGGCCUCCUAAGCCAGGGAUUGUGGGUUCGUGUCCCAUCUGGGGUA